rnacentral:rRNA from 1 species
GCCGCGUGAGUGAUGAAGGUUUUCGGAUCGUAAAACUCUGUUGUUAGGGAAGAACAAGUACCGGAGUAACUGCCGGUACCUUGACGGUACCUAACCAGAAAGCCACGGCUAACUACGUGCCAGCAGCCGCGGUAAUACGUAGGUGGCAAGCGUUGUCCGGAAUUAUUGGGCGUAAAGCGCGCGCAGGCGGUCUCUUAAGUCUGAUGUGAAAGCCCCCGGCUCGAACCGGGGAGGGUCAUUGGAAACUGGGAGACUUGAGUGCAGAAGAGAAGAGUGGAAUUCCACGUGUAGCGGUGAAAUGCGUAGAGAUGUGGAGGAACACCAGUGGCGAAGGCGACUCUUUGGUCUGUAACUGACGCUGAGGCGCGAAAGCGUGGGGAGCAAACAGGAUUAGAUACCCUGGUAGUCCACGCCGUAAACGAUGAGUGCUAAGUGUUAGAGGGUUUCCGCCCUUUAGUGCUGCAGCAAACGCAUUAAGCACUCCGCCUGGGGAGUACGGCCGCAAGGCUG